GGAUAUGGAGGUGGCACUGUUGUUUCCGGGUUGUCCUGGGAGGUUGUGUUGAUGCUAGGAUAUGGAGGUGGCACUGUUGUUUCCGGGUUGUCCUGGGAGGUUGUGUUGAUGCUAGGAUGUGGAGGUGGCACUGUUGUUUCCGGGUUGUCCUGGGAGGUUGUGUUGAUGCUAGGAUAUGGAGGUGGCACAGUUGUUUCAGAGUUGUCCUGGGAGGUUGUGUUGAUGCUAGGAUAUGGAGGUAGCACUGUUGUUUCUGAGUUGUCCUGGGAGGUUGUGUUGAUGCUAGGAUGUGGAGGUGGCACUGUUGUUUCUGGGUUGUCCUGGGAGGUUGUGUUGAUGCUAGGAUAUGGAGGUGGCACUGUUGUUUCAGAGUUGUCCUGGGAGGUUGUACUGAUGCCCGGAACUUCAAAUGGCACCAUAGUUGAGUUAGCAUGACUGACCGUUACCCGUAAGCAAAAUAUAGUCAACAGAAGCGCGGUUAGUGUCGAGUGGCAACCCAUUCUGAGUCCCGGUAACCGUGAAGUGGUACUGAACUUCACAACACUAUAGCUUCAACAGUAGACAAGCCCCGUCCUGUCACGGGAGGGGGUGGGUGGCGAAUGUGAGGAGAGCCACA